rnacentral:lncRNA from 1 species
GCCCAGACGACCAGAGACUGCCCCCUCCGGCAGUCACCGGCGGCGAAGAUCCCCUCAACGUUCGUCGAGAAGCGCCCGAAGUCAGCUUUGAAAUUCGAGCGGUUGUCCCGCUCCACCCCCAGCUCUUCGGCGAUUUUCUGCCGGCAAAAGUCAAACAGAUAUCAGCGAUGAACAGCUCCCGGAUGAUCCUUUUUUUUUUGUGGGAAAUGAGAUGGAGCCGCGCGCUGACCUGUUCAGGGCCGAGGAAGCCCAUCGCGAGGAGAACCAGGUCGGCUUCGAUGAUCUCUUCAGACCCUGCAAUUUCCUGGAACUGGAACCGCCCGCUGGCGUCCUUGGCCCAGCGCACGCGCAC